rnacentral:ncRNA from 1 species
AUUGUAAGGUGCAAGCUGAAGGAAGUUGUAAGCAAAUCUCUGUUCCGACGGACAGAAAUCACAUAUAAGGCUAGGCUACGAGAGAUAAGUUGGCCAAAAGCAAUGGAGUUUAAUAACUAUCAUAUUUGUAAUAACAGAGUAAAUGUGGUGGAUAUAUCGAGAGAAAGAG